AGUUUUCUACGUCGAAACGUCACCUGCUUUGCACGUGGCCUCACUUGACAGGGUCGGUGUUCACAUUUUGGGAAAAAAACCCGCCCCAAGAAUCUUUCUCUCUCUUAACAGUCUUCUGCUCUCCUCUACUCACAACCCUAACUCCUACAAACUCUCUCCCUUCUCAUCAAGAAAUUUCUAGAUCUACUCCCACUCUAGAAGAUUAUGCCUCAAUUUUAAGAAAUACGAUAAAUUUCAAACAUAAUUCAAAGACUUUGAGGUAUUCAUUAUGUUCUGGAUGUGCAGACCGCCGACACCGCUGCAAAGCUCUUUGUGUCAAUUGAGAUCCAGGGUAAUUCAACCCUGUUGGUGCUCAUGAAAGUAGGAGACUUGGUGAAGAUCCUAAGGGUAUCCCGAACAGCCUUAUACCUUAAAUACAACAGGUUGUUGUCGGCAUACUACCUGGGCUCAAUGUCUAAGCAUUGACUAUCCUACAAGGGAUAGUAUAGCGGUGAUGUAAAGGUUUGUUGCAGCCAACCCAGAGCAAUUUUGAUGAGUGAACUAAUGCAGAAAACAAACAACCAUUACAAAAUAAGGUUAAAGAGUCUAUAUUUUAACAUACUUUUUUCCCUCCUUUUCCGGGUGUAGGAUUAUAGGGUAAGGAGAGAAGAAGAAGCUGGUCGGUAGAGAUUCAGAACUUAACAAAUAAUUUUUUUUAUCCAUGAUCUUGGUUAACAUUCAAACAACAAAUUCAUCGCUAUCAUGUGUAAUGCAGGGUGGCUUCUACUGUCGAUGUUGUUUUCCUAUCAUAUCCUAAUGCAUUGCAUCUUCUUGGUGCUUUUCCAUAUGCAAUGAAGCAAUUUGGGCUCUCCGCACCAGUGUAUGCAACAGAGCCAGUCUAUAGACUGGGUCUUCUGACUAUGUAUGAUCACUAUAUUUCACACAAGAUCGUCCAACGUGAUAAGGAGCAACAUACGAAGCUUUUGAAAGGAGAAGGAAAGGGAUUUAAACAAUGAGAAUGAAGGCCAAGAUACUUGAGCUUAUAAGCUACUACCUCCAUUAGAUCCUAGUUUUUCUAGGCUUUAGUUCUUUCGGAUUAGAAGAUACAAUUAAUUUUUUAGUAACAUCUAUGUACUAUGGAUAUAUUAUGGUUAAUUAGUAAAAUUUUCAUGUACUAUGGAUUUUAAUGUACUACGUACUUCUACAUUUUACGUCGAUGGAAGAACAAUUAUUCAAAAUACAA